ensembl:lncRNA
GGAGAUAUCAAUCAGAAUUAUGCCCAGUAAAUGGGUAGUUGUGAUUGGGUUUGGUGGAUAAAUAAAUCAAUCAGUGUUUCCUUGGAAGGGUAUAAAACUGAAGCACAUCGGGUUUCUUCACUCCAUUGGACUUCCUUCAGCUUGUUCGUGCCGUGGGACACGGGCUUUUGGCUCCUGUGACGAUGGGUUCCCACCAGCAGAAGGGCGAAGGCCAAGGAAUCUCUGAGCAGUCCGGUGGAUGCCAUGGUGGUGGCAGUGGAGGAAGCUCAUGCCAUGGGGGUGGUGGAGGAGGAUCCUGCCACAGUAGUGGCGGUGGAGGAUCUAUAGGAUAUCAGAGCCAAGGAUCGUCCUGCCAUGGUGGAGGAAGCAGCGGUGGUGGUGGUGCUAUCUACCAGACCCACAUAUCAUCGUCCUCCUUUGGAGGAGGAGGAGGAGGAGGAGGAGGAAGUUCAGGCCACCAGGGACAAGAACCCAUCUGCAUUAUUGGAGGAGGAGGCGGCAGCAGUGGUGGUGGAGGUGGUUCCAGCCACCAGAGCCAAGGACCCAUCUGCAUCGGUGGAGGUGGAGGAGGAGGUGGUGGCUCUGACCACCAGAGCCAAGGACCCAUCUGCAUCGGUGGAGGUGGAGGAGGAGGUGGUGGCUCUGACCACCAGAGCCAAGGACCCAUCUGCAUCGGUGGAGGUGGUGGUGGAGGAGGAGGAGGUGGUUCUGGCCACCAGAGCAAAAUACCCAUCUGCAUCAGUGGAGGUGGAGGAGGAAAAGGUGAAGGUGGUUCCAGCCAUCAGGGCCAAGGACCCAUCUGCAUUGGAGGAGGUGGAGGAGGAGGAGGCGGAGGUGGUUCCAGCCAUCAGGGCCAAGGACCCAUCUGCAUUGGAGGUGGUGGAGGAGGAAAAGGUGAAGGUGGUUCCAGCCAUCAGGGCCAAGGACCAAUCUGCAUUGGUGGAGGUGGAGGAGGAGUAGGUGGAGGUGGUUCUGGCCACCAAAGCCAGGGUCCCAUAUGCAUUGGAGGUGGCAGCAUAGGAGGAGGAGGUGGUGGUGGUGGUUCCAGCCACCAGGGCCAAGGACCCAUCUGUAUUAGUGGAGGUGGAGGAGGUGGAGGAGGUGGAGGUGGUUCUGGCUAUCAGGGCCAAGGACCCAUCUGCAUUGGAGGAGGAGGUGGAGGUGGCUCUGGCCACCAAAGCCAGGGUCCCAUCUGCAUUGGAGGAGGAGGAGGAGGCGGAGGAGGAGGUGGCUCUGGCCACCAGAGCCAAGGACCCAUCUGCAUUGGAGGAGGAGGUGGUGGAGGAGGUGGGGGUGGUUCUGGUCACCAGGGCCAAGGAUCCAUCUGCAUUAUUGGAGGAGGCUCUGGUGGAGGUAGUUCAUCUGGCUCUGGAGGCAUGUCCAUGCAGCAGCAGACCCAGCCUAUCUCCUGGCCACCACAGACUAAACACAAGUAGGGGCUUUAGAAGAGAAUUUUGUAACAAGAAAGCCCAGGAUGCAAACAUUAUCUCAUUUCUUACUCCGGUAAAUGUAAGAAUACUUGCAUGAUUCCUUUCACCUCUGCCUUGGAAUUUUUCUCUUCAGCUCUCCAGCCAACCAGAACCUCCAGUGAUGUGUAUCAACAACUUGCAGCCUCAUGUGGGGUUACUUCAUAUGCCAUUUUUCUGCCUCAAUUUUCUACUGUUUGCACAAGACAAAUAAAACUGCAGCUGUAGAGAACUUCAGUGUCUGAGUGCUUGCAUUCUGUUUGCACCACCUAUUUUCAUUAUUUCAGUCACCAAGAUUUCUUUCUGAGGUUAUGCUGUUUUAAUAAAACUCCAGAGCACAAAUGCAUUGCAAGCCCACUGUAGAAGAGAGGUGGGAUUCCCUAGAUAUUUUAGAUCGUCUUUAAAUAUCAGUUGCUACACGUGACCCUGACUUUUGCCCAUCAGAUAUAGUACCCUCAAAGUUAAACAUUGAAAAAAGUCUCUCUCUUUCAUCUAGGUACCACACAAUGCCCAAGGAAAGUGUAGAUAAGAGAGGGAAAAUGCAAAACUCUUAACACUUUAGUACAAAGGAGUACAGGGAACCAUUACAGGUGUGAGGCUGAGCCUCUUGAAUGAUGAAGGAGAUCUUGGUGCUCAUAGCUGCACUAAGCACUAAGAGACAUGAGGUCUGUCAAACCCUGGCUCCAGCUCUGAGCUCCUGGAGCAUCCAGCAGGGACAGGACUUCAAACAGUCCCUUCCAGGGCUGAGAUGUUAAGCCUGGAGUAGCUGGGGAGCUCCUCACUCACGCAGGGAUAAAACACCGCUCCAGGUAUGAGUCUUCACUGGGAGUUUCCCUAUGGGAAGUGAUUCCUUUGAUGUGGUACGUUCUGUCAAUUAACAGUUGCAGUGCGGAAUGUAAAAUAAACAGUAAUAUUUAAUUCUUCUGGCAGACAACCUUGGCUGCUCCGCUCUCCAUUUUAUUACUGCUUCAAGCAGGUUGGCUAGCUAAUUUUUAAAAGAAAAAAUAGUCUUCGAGAGUAAAUACUGGAGUGAGAGGUUCUGGGGGAACUGAGGUGACCCACUGGGUGGGAAUGAAGGGGUGCCCAUGCUGCUGCUUCCAGUUUCAGCCCUGGUGCAGUGGUAUGGUCUCCCCCACCCAACUCAACACCUUGCAACUGAAAGCUGUGGAUGCAUCCCAAGCACAUCUCACUCAGGGGUUCCAGCCAGGACAGUGCCACAGGGAUCUACCAAGCACAAAGUGGGACACAAGGACCCCACAAAGCUGCAUCAAGCAGCAUGCAGGGACUGGAUCCAGCACUGGCCAGUGGCUGGGGCCUCUACCCUCUACCUCCAGCACUUGGAUUCCAUGCUGGAGCAGGUAUCACCCUUAAUUCCAAGAGGCAGCAAAAAUCCUACCUGACCUCUGUGCUGCCCAUAAUGGGACAUGCAAAAAAGAUAUGAUCCAUGCUAGAUUAUCACGAUGGGUUGUCCCAGCACGUGGGGAUCUUCUACUCCCUUCUGCUGCUCCAGCGACAGCACUACCAACUACUGCAGCUCUCUCCUGUCUUCCUGACAUCUCCAUUGCGGUGAUGGGUUGAUGGUUGGACUAGAUGAUCUUAAUGGUCUUUUGCAAACUUAAUGAUUCAAUGAUUCAGUGAUUCUAUGAUUGUAAUGAACAAUAAACACAAGUCCUCACACCAUCCCAGCAGCAUCCCCUAGCUCACGUGCAGGGCGCUGGAGCCCCACAGCUACUGCCUUCAAACACAACCACGGGAGCAGAGCUCACAUGAGAUCCGCACCCAGACUUUGAGUAGCUUAGGAAGUGAUUCAAGAGAGAAGCAUUGAUCUGAUUCGAUGAGUCAAGAGGACAACUGGCCUGAAGGAACACAGUCUAUUUAUCUAGUAAAUAAACCCAUCACCAUUCCUCUGGAUGCCUCACAGCCCACUUAGCAGAGCUAGAGGCAGUAUAAAAGUUGCUUGGUUCUGUAGUCCAUCACUCGCUCAGAGUUGCGCUGUUGAACGUGUCAUCAGAACCAAGAAGGGUAAGUCCAUUUCUGCUUACGGGAGCAAUUCUUCUGAUUUUUGUGCUUGCAAAACAGAACCGCCUUGGUGGAGCACACCAGAUGGGUGGUGACUUGAAGCUUAGGGAGGUUGUUUUGGCGAAUUUAAAUUUCUUGAGGAUAUUAGCUGACGAAGGAUCGCCCCAUGAUACUGGAAAUUAUGAGGACAGAGAUCCAGAGGGAACAUUUUUGGAAAAAGUCUCUAAAUUGAGGAGUUUAGCUUCAUUAUCUUCAGUAGUCCUGUGCUGUCCUGAGAGUAAAGGCUUUAUAUGUGGUUGGAAUACAUGGGUGACAGUUAUCUGGAAGGAAAUUCAGUGAAUGCUGGGAAAUAUUCUUUCAAUGGACCAAUGAUCCUGGAGGCAGGGAUCAUUUUGAUAGUAGUGUCUUCUUUUCAGUAACAAAUAUAUGCUUUCUUGCAGGGCCACUGCACAGAGAUGUGUUCCCGACAGAGCUCCGGAGGCUGCCAUGAGUCAUCUUCCCAGUCCGGGGGAUGCUGCAGUGGGGGCAGCUCCUCCAGCUACCAGGCACAGGGCUCCUCCUGCUGCGGGGGCUCCUCGGGAUACAGCAUGGGAGGAGGAUACAGUGGUGGCAGUGGGGGAUCGAGCCAGAAGAUCAUCAUUAGCUCAGGAGGAGGAGGAGGAGGUUCGUCUGGAUGCUGUGGUGGAGGAUCCAGCAGUGGUGGGUCUUCAGGAGGCAAGAUCAUCAUUGGAGGAGGUGGAAGUAGUGGGGGAUCCUCUGGGUGCUGCAGUGGAGGCUCCUCGGGCUACGGAAUAGGAGGAGGAUACAGCAGUGGUGGUUACUCGGGAUCCAAGAGCAUCAUUGGAGGAGGUGGAAGCAGUGGUGGAUCCUCUGGAUGCUGUGGUGGAGGAUCCAGCAGUGGUGGGUCUUCAGGUGGCAAGAUCAUAAUUACUGGAGGUGGGAGCAGUGGGGGAUCCUCUGGGUGCUGCAGUGGAGGCUCCUCGGGCUACGGAAUAGGAGGAGGAUACAGCAGUGGUGGUUACUCGGGAUCCAAGAGCAUCAUUGGAGGAGGUGGAAGCAGUGGUGGAUCCUCUGGAUGCUGUGGUGGGGGAUCCAGCAGUGGUGGGUCUUCAGGUGGCAAGAUCAUAAUUACAGGAGGUGGAAGCAGUGGAGGAUCCUCAGGAUGCUGUAGUGGGGGAUCCAGCUACGGGGGUGGAUAUAGCAGUGGAUCAUCAGGAUCGAAGAGCAUCAUUGGAGGUGGAAGCAGUGGAGGUUCCUCUGGAUGCUGCGGUGGUGGCUCUUCUGGCUAUGGCACUUCAGGCUAUGGCUCUUCCAGCUAUGGCAGUGGGGGAUCAGGCCAGAAGAUCAUCAUUAGCUCUGGAGGAGGAGGAGGAGGUGGCUCAUCUGGAUGCUGUGGUGGGGGAUCCAGCAGUGGUGGCUCUUCAGGUGGCAAGAUCAUAAUUACAGGAGGUGGAAGCAGUGGGGGAUCCUCUGGGUGCUGCAGUGGAGGCUCCUCGGGCUACGGAAUAGGAGGAGGAUACAGCAGUGGUGGUUACUCAGGCUCCAAGAGCAUCAUUGGAGGAGGAUACAGCAGUGGUGGUUACUCAGGAUCCAAGAGCAUCAUUGGAGGAGGUGGAAGCAGUGGGGGAUCCUCUGGGUGCUGCAGUGGAGGCUCCUCGGGCUACGGAAUAGGAGGAGGAUACAGCAGUGGUGGUUACUCGGGAUCCAAGAGCAUCAUUGGAGGUGGGAGCAGUGGUGGAUCCUCUGGUUGCUGUGGUGGGGGAUCCAGCAGUGGUGGCUCUUCAGAAGGAAAGAUCAUCAUUACUGGAGGUGGGAGCAGUGGGGGAUCCUCUGGAUGCUGUAGUGGGGGAUCCAGCUAUGGAAUGGGUGGAGGAUCUAGUGGUGGUUACUCGGGAUCCAAGAGCAUCAUUGGAGGUGGAAGCAGUGGUGGUUCCUCUGGAUGCUGCGGUGGUGGCUCUUCUGGCUAUGGCUCUUCAGGCUAUGGCUCUUCCAGCUAUGGCAGUGGGGGAUCAGGCCAGAAGAUCAUCAUUAGCUCUGGAGGUGGAGGAGGUGGCUCAUCUGGAUGCUGUGGUGGGGGAUCCAGCAGUGGUGGAUCUUCUGGAGGCAAGAUCAUCAUUGGAGGAGGUGGAAGCAGUGGGGGAUCCUCUGGGUGCUGCAGUGGAGGCUCCUCGGGCUACGGAAUAGGAGGAGGAUACAGCAGUGGUGGUUACUCGGGAUCCAAGAGCAUCAUUGGAGGAGGUGGAAGCAGUGGUGGAUCCUCUGGUUGCUGUGGUGGAGGAUCCAGCGGUGGUGGGUCUUCAGAAGGAAAGAUCAUCAUUACUGGAGGUGGGAGCAGUGGUGGAUCCUCUGGAUGCUGUAGUGGGGGAUCCAGCUACGGGGGUGGAUAUAGCAGUGGUUAUUCAGGAUCCAAGAGCAUCAUUGGAGGUGGAAGCAGUGGUGGUUCCUCUGGAUGCUGCGGUGGUGGCUCUUCUGGCUAUGGCUCUUCCAGCUAUGGCAGUGGGGGAUCAGGCCAGAAGAUCAUCGUUAGCUCUGGAGGUGGAGGAGGUGGCUCAUCUGGAUGCUGUGGUGGGGGAUCCAGCAGUGGUGGAUCUUCCGGAGGCAAGAUCAUUGUUGGAGGAGGUGGAAGCAGUGGGGGAUCCUCCGGAUGCUGCGGUGGGGGAUCCAGUGGGGGCAGUGGCGGUUCCUCGGGCCACACCAUCAUCAUCAGCUCCGGAGGAGGCAGUGGUGGGUACGGCCAGUCCUCGCAGCAGAAAUGUCCCAUUGUCAUUCCUCACAUCGAGAGCCACCAGACCAAGCAGGCCUGCUACUUUCCUGGCCAGCAGAAGUGACCGCCCCGGGCAGCGCAGCACUCAGCAGGAACAGCCCUGCCUCUGUUUUCCAUGUUUGUCUACUUCCCCACCAUGUGUCCUCUUCUCAAUCCUUGAUGCUCCAUCACUAUGCCAUGAACUCUGGGCUUAACAACCUUUUGCUCCGUGCUGGUGUUGUGAUUUCUUUGGUCAAAUUGUGCUCCAUUUUCAGUAAGGAUUUGUAGUACCUAAUAAAUAUCACGACAUCACAAUGUAGAUUUAUUUUUGAGUUUCCUUUUUUCUUGCUUUCUCACACAGCAUCUCAUCAUCUCAGAAGCAGGAAAUGUAUCUGAUAAGUUAGUUGACUCCCCCAUUGAGAUGUUCUGCAGUGCAUCAUCACAGCUCUAAAGCCAAUGCACCAUAGAGUCUAGAAGGCUGCUGCACCUUUCUUUUCCUCUGGGCUCCAAAGCAGAGCAACAACACAUCCUAAAGCAUCAAACACCCACAGCUCCCAGCAUCCCCUUGACUCCUGUGUUGGUGGUGCCCUUUCACUGUCACCCCAGCUCAUGGCUCUGAUUCCUCUGGGGCAGCAGCACACAGUGUUGAUGCCCAUGGAGCAGCACAGAGCUGCUGGAUUGUGCAGCUGAGACUGUUGGGUUCCAACCUGAAGCUGUGGAAGCAGGAAAAGCCCGCAUUAACAGUUAUCACUGCCUAGAGUGGCUCAAUGCCAUGCCAAUGUCCAUGUCCUUGCUGUACACCUUCCCUCCCAGCUUUGCAAACCUCAGAGCAGCUCUGCCUGGUGGAAAGCCUCCCACGCUGGCUUGGCUGAAUGAGUCCUGGGCCAGCAGGAGGAAAUAAAGCCAACAGCACAGCCCUUAGGCUGUGACAGCACACCACACUAUGCCUCCAGGUCUUAAUUCCUCCUUGUCCAUGUUUGGAAACCUGCUUUGAAACGAAACGCUCAAGGGCAG